rnacentral:rRNA from 1 species
UCCUAAUAAGCUAGCCCGCCCCUUGGAAAAACAACCCCCUCUAAAUUAACUCCUACAAAACAAGCAACAAACCAUUUUACCUCCCCAGUACCACGGGCGACAGAAAAG